rnacentral:rRNA from 1 species
GUGCCAGCCGGCCGCGGUAAUACGGAGGGUGCGAGCGUUGUCCGGAUUUAUUGGGUUUAAAGGGUGCGUAGGCGGCCCUGUAAGUCAGCGGUGAAAUCCCCCGGCUCAACCGGGGAACUGCCGUUGAUACUGCAGGGCUUGAGCACAGACGAGGUAGGCGGAAUUGACGGUGUAGCGGUGAAAUGCAUAGAUACCGUCAGGAACCCCGAUUGCGUAGGCAGCUUACUAGGCUGUUACUGACGCUGAGGCACGAAAGCGUGGGGAGCGAACAGGAUUAGAUACCCGAGUAGUCC